AAUAGUCCAAUGAAACUUCUGCUUUCUCUGAUACCACAGAUCUGAGAUUUGAGAUCUGAUACCACAAAUGCCUUAAUGUGGCUGGCAUUCAUGAGAAGGUAUGCAACUAUUGUUGAAAUAUGAAGAACUCAGAAUGUCAAGAGAGAAGAGGAUUAGUACUCUCACCUUUUGGAAGAUGAGUUUCUUGCCCUUGAUGCCCAUCCAUGCUUGAGCAAGAAAGAGGAAAAGAAAGAUGGAAGCUGAGGAAUGAUGAAGACAAUGGAAUCAAAGGCAAUUGGCAUAUGGAAGUAACCAUGGAAUCCUCUAGAGGUUACUUAAACUCCCCCAAAUUCUGUACUGGGGCCCUUGGGCCCUUAUGCUCAGCCCGCUCCCACACUGUGGAGUAUACUUUCAUUUUCA
rnacentral:lncRNA from 1 species